CUGAGAUGAAUUUAACUGCCUUCAGUAGUGCUGGCCUGCUCCUGAGAGAGAGAUGAUUGAGAGGGAGGAAGUAGAGAGGAGGAAGAAGCCUUUACUCACACUCCUUGAGGAGUGAUUCAGGUGGACAGCCUGAAUUACGGGAUUUAUUGGCAGCAAGUAAGUAUUGUCUGAGUGGAUUACUGCAAAAUGCUUUAGCUGGGGAUGGCUUUGAAAACCACUCAUCAAUUACAGAUGGUACCCAGUAUAGCAGCAGGAGUACCCUUGCGGGCUUUUGUUAUCUCCGACCUCUUCCUUCAUGGGUGACCGUUCUAACCCAAAGACCUCAACUGUUCAUCAAAAACCUGCCACUCAGAACUGCAUAUCAAUUAUUAAACAAUGUCCCAUGCAGGACAGUGACUUUAAAUUAUCUUGGAAAUGAUAAAGACCAACAUUUGUCUUUGUUAACAUGCUGAGUGAUUCUGUGGUCUCUAGUCACAGGUGAAAGGAUCAGAUUUGAGAUUUCUAGACACCAGAAUCACAUUAGGGUUAAGCAAAACUCCAUCUUUUCCCAGAGAAAAUUUAGCCAGAAAUGUUGCUUAUUUGAGAUGAGAAGUAAGAUGAAGUGUUCUAACAUGGCGGAGCUUGAUAUGCAAAUGAGCCCAUCUAGGGACAGUAGGGAUUGGUAAUGUGGGUCUGUGGAUGCCUGGAAGGCUCACAGAAAGACUUCAGGAAUUCCUGAGUCUCUUCAAAGUGUAAGCAAAAUUUUGUGUGUAUUUUCUUAUUUGCAUGAUAUGGCUUGGCUGUGUCCCCACCCAAACCUUAUCUCGAAUUGUAACUCCCACAAUUCCCACAUGUCGUGGAAGGAUCCUGGUGGGAUUCAUUAUGGGGGCAGGUCUUUCCAGUGCUGUUCUCAUGAUAGUGAAUGAGUCUCACAAUAUCUGAUGGUUUUAAAAACAGGAGUUUCUUUGCACAAGCUCUCUUUCUACCGCUGCCUCCAUGUAAGAUGUGACUUGCUCCUCCUUGCCUUCCACCAUGAUUGUGAGGCCUCCCCAUCCACGUGGAACUGCGAGGCCAAUUGAACUCCUUUCUUUUGUAAAUUGUCCAGUCUCAGGUAUGUCUUUAUCAGCAGUGUGAAAAUGGGCUAAUACAGUGCAUUUAUUUUUUUGAAGCAUGUCCAUACUUUCCAUUGGAUUCUCAAAGGGAUUCAGGACCUGGAAACUUUUUGAAAUACUGCUCCAUAGUAAAUGGCACAAAUCUCUCUGAAUCAAGGAUGUCUCUAGCCUUAGGCAAAGCUAGGUUGAAGGACAGAACAGAGAGUCAGCCUCUGGAGUGCCCUCUAUAAGGAAAAAGAAAACAUUACUAGAGUAAGUUGAUAAAGUAUAAAUUCAUCUCACUCCUACUGGACACUGCCCUUGAGUGAAAUUAAAAACUGAAAAAUUUUUGACAUAUCUUUUGAGCAUUUUUGUAAAAUACGCAUGUAGCUAUGGCCAAAAUUCUGGAAUAAAAUGGUACAUAUAGCCUUAGGUAUCCUGGCUCUGUUUCUUAAAGGAGUCAUAUUUACAGAAUUGCAGUUGUCCAGGUGCAGUGGCUCACGCCUGUAAUCCAAACAAUUUGGGAGGCCCAAGCAGGUGGAUCACUUGAAGUCAGGAGUUUGAGACCAGCCUGGUCAACAUGGUGAAACCCCA
rnacentral:lncRNA from 10 species